UACGAAGGGGGCGAGCGUUGUUCGGAAUUACUGGGCGUAAAGGGCGUGUAGGCGGCCCCUUUUGUCGCGUGUGAAAGCCCCGGGCUCAACCUGGGAGGUGCGCGCGAAACGGGGGGGCUUGAGUUCGGGAGAGGAGCGUGGAAUUCCCAGUGUAGAGGUGAAAUUCGUAGAUAUUGGGAAGAACACCGGUGGCGAAGGCGGGUCUCUGGGCCGAUACUGACGCUGAGGAGCGAAAGCGUGGGGAGCGAACAGG
rnacentral:rRNA from 1 species